rnacentral:lncRNA from 1 species
GAGUUGAAGGCAUAUGCAUAGUAUUAAAGAAGUUCAUGUUCUUUAACUUAGAGGUUUGAAUGGGUGAGUUAUACGCGGAGGCACCUGAGUCAGACGUAGACAUUGAAUCGUCGAAACGAACCCUCUUUUUUGGAGAACGUUUUGAAAAUACAACUGGUUUUUUUGGAGACUUCACGAAAAACAUUCGAGGCAAGUUAUUAUUAAGCAAGGGUUGAGUGGGAAAACUAUGAACUCUAUCACGAUUGAUAGUUCGUGAAUCAUCGGAUGUUGAGUUGAGCUUAUAACUUUCUGAUAAGACAGAUAUAUUAGGUUUCUCGCCAAGACCAAUGCCCAACAACCACUUUUCCAGUAUCGAGAAUAGCUCUUGCAUACCUCCCUCUUUUAGCAAUGAACUAGCUUUGAAAGAACUUCUAAGAAGGGAUUCUAAAACAGGAGUGAACUCAUCAACUUUAUUCUGAGCAUCUAGAACCUGAUUCUCAAUAAUUGAUUUUAGCAAGUCAACUUCAUCCUGUAACACAUCAGCGUACAUGGUAGCACCUUCUUGUUUGUAUGUGUUGAUAAUGUGAGAAACACUUCUCUGAAACUUUUGGUAUACAAGUUCAGGAUCUAUAUCAGCAAUGAUCUCUGCACGACGAGUUAACAAUGAUUCUAACUUUGAACGAACUAAAAAUACUCGUUCAUCUGCGGAAUUCGGAAGUAUUCGCUCAUAGCAGGAUAACCAGUACUUAAGUACGCGAAUUGAAUCAUCAAAAUGUUUCACCUUUUCUACCUUAUUAAUAGUAUCAUUUUGCAGUGGUAAAGUCUCCUCAAAUGUCAUACGCAAUAAAUUUCUGGCUUCUGCAAGCUUCGAUUCAUGAGCAAAAGAUUGAGUUACAGCGUCCUGAUCAGAACCAUUUGAUUGCGAUGACAAAUCGAUCUGUGCGAGACGAUUCUCCAACUCUGAAAUUUGCUCACGUAACUCAACGAUUGCUUUUACAUAUUGGCUUACAUGUCGAUCUACACUGAUCAUGUUCCUUAACACUUCGGUUUUGAUAUUCUUUGCUCGAUUAGCAUAUUUUAGAGUAUUGUGAGUUUCUUCGUAAUGAACAGAAGACGGAGAUACGCAAACAAUCAUAACUGUCCGACAAUUUCCGCCUAAACUAAACUUAAGUAAGCGAGUAAGUUUAGAAUCACGAUAGGGGACAUGCGCACGGCGAUGGGGAUCACAAAGGGCAUUGAUACAAUUUCCUAGGGCUAAAAGAGAUUUAUUAAUAUUAGCACCUUCAAAAAGACGACUACCUCUUAAUUUGGUAGCUGUUGCACGUUCUGAGCCAGCCAAGUCAAUAAUUGAUAAAGUGGCCAAAGUGUGGUCCUCAUUGAUGCCAGCUGUACGAGGUUUUUGGAUCAACGUAACCUGCAAUACAGCAUGCGAACGAGAUGAAGCAGCGUUAGCUUCUGUCGGAGACAUAGUACGAUUAGCAUUUCCCUUCAUGAUAAUAUCAAUGAUUUCUUCCAAAGAUUCUGGAGACAAAGAAGUAAGACCUGGUACAGUAAUGCGACGGUCUGCAUCUUCCCGUAAAUUUAAUGGCUUUGCUUGAUUUGGGGUCGG